AUCCUGGCUCAGCGCGAACGCUGGCGGCAUGGCUAAAACAUGCAAGUCGAACGCGAAAGCGGCUUCGGCCGUGAGUAGAGUGGCGAAAGGGCGAGUAACGCGUCUUUUACGUACCCUCAGGUGCGGGAUAGCUCAGGGAAACUUGGGAUAAUACCGCAUAAUCCGGCAACGGCAAAGGUUUACUGCCUGAGGCUCGGAAGACGUCCUAUCAGCUAGUUGGUGAGGUAAAGGCUCACCAAGGCGAAGACGGGUAGCCGGUGUGAGAGCACGACCGGCCGCAUCGGGACUGAGACACUGCCCGGACUCCUACGGGAGGCUGCAGUAACGAAUAUUCCACAAUGCGCGAAAGCGUGAUGGAGCAAUGCCGCGUGUAGGAUGAAGCCUCUAGGGGUGUAAACUACUGUCAGGACCCAGGAAGAUCUGACCGGGUCCAGAGGAAGGGCCGGCUAACUUCGUGCCAGCAGCCGCGGUAAUACGAAGGGCCCGAGCGUUGCGCGGAAUCACUGGGCUUAAAGCGUACGUAGGCGGAUUGGCAAGUACCUUGUGAAAUCCCAGGGCUCAACCCUGGAACUGCUCGGUAAACUGCCAGUCUUGAGCUAGACAGAGGUCGUCGGAACGAUAGGUGGAGCGGUGAAAUGCGUAGAUAUCUAUCGGAACGCCAAAGGUGAAGACAGGCGACUGGGUCUAAGCUGACGCUCAGGUACGAAAGCAUGGGUAGCGAACGGGAUUAGAUACCCCGGUAGUCCAUGCCGUAAACGAUGUGCACUAGAUCGAGGAGGUUUUGACACCAUCUCGGUCGAAGUCAAAGCGUUAAGUGCACCGCCUGGGGAGUACGGUCGCAAGGCUAAAACUCAAAGGAAUUGACGGGGGCUCACACAAGCGGUGGAGCAUGUGGCUUAAUUCGAAGCUACGCGAAGAACCUUAUCCAGGGUUUGACAUGCACGGAUUAUUGAUCCGAAAGGUGAUAGACACUCUUUGAGUGGAACGUGCACAGGUGCUGCAUGGCUGUCGUCAGCUCGUGCUGUGAAGUGUCGGGUUAAGUCCCUUAACGAGCGAAACCCCUGUCGUUAGUUGCUAGCAGGUUAUGCUGAGGACUCUAACGAGACUGCCGGUGUCAAACCGGAGGAAGGUGGGGACGACGUCAAGUCAUCAUGGCCUUUAUGCCCUGGGCUGCACACGUGCUACAAUGGCGUGGACAGACCGAAGCAAUACCGUAAGGUGGAGCAAAUCGGAAAAACCACGCCCCAGUUCGGAUUGUGGUCUGCAACUCGACCACAUGAAGGUGGAAUCGCUAGUAAUCGCGUAUCCGCAAUGACGCGGUGAUACGUUCCUGAGCCUUGUACACACCGCCCGUCACGUCAUGGAAGCUGGGAGCACCCAGAAGUCGCCUCGCCUCAGAGGUGCCUACGG
rnacentral:rRNA from 1 species